rnacentral:rRNA from 1 species
GUCCUUCUGUUUAUUUAUUUAAGGUCUGACCUGCCCAAUGAGGAAUUGAAUGGCCGCAGUAUUUUAACUGUGCUAAGGUAGCAUAAUCAUUUGUCUUUUAAUUGAGGGCUGGAAUGAAAGGUUGGACGAGAUAUUAACUUUCUUUAGUUUAAUUAUAAGAAUUUAAUUUUUUAGUUAAAAAGCUAAAAUUUAUUUGUUGGACGAGAAGACCCUAUAGAUCUUUAUAAUUUUAUACUUUAAUAGUGUAGGGAAUAUUCUUUUUUGAAGUAAAUUAAUUAUUUUGUUGGGGUGACUGUAGAAUUUAAUUAACUUCUAUUUAUUAGAAUCAUUUAUUAGUGUUUUAUUGAUCCAUAUAUUUAUGAUUAGAAGAUUAAGUUACCUUAGGGAUAACAGCGUAAUUUUUUCGGAGAGUUCAUAUUGAUGAAGAAGUUUGCGACCUCGAUGUUGGAUUAAAAUAAGUUAUAGAUGCAGGAGUUUAUUUACUAGGUCUGUUCGACCUUUAAAUUUUU